CCUACGGGCGGCAGCAGUGAGGAAUAUUGGUCAAUGGACGAGAGUCUGAACCAGCAAAGUCGCGUGAAGGAUGACUGCCCUAUGGGUUGUAAACUUCUUUUAUAUGGGAAUAUAGUGUUCCAUGUGUGGGGUUUUGUAUGUACCAUAUGAAUAAGGAUCGGCUAACUCCGUGCCAGCAGCCGCGGUAAUACGCAGGAUCCGAGCGUUAUCCGGAUUUAUUGGGUUUAAAGGGAGUGUAGGUGGAUUUUUAAGUCAGUUGUGAAAGUUUGCGGCUUAACCGUAUAAUUGCAGUUGAAACUGGUAGUCUUGAGUACAGUAGAGGCGGGCGGAAUUCGUGGUGUAGCGGUGAAAUGCUUAGAUAUCACGAAGAACUCCGAUUGCGAAGGCAGCUCACUGGACUGCAACUGACACUGAGGCGCGAAAGUGUGGGUAUCAAACAGGAUUAGAUACCCUAGUAGUC
rnacentral:rRNA from 1 species